UCUCUGUAUCACUAUGUGCUGUUCUUGGUCCCCUCUGUUACAAGCUGUUUCCAUCCAUCUCACGGUGACCUAUAUACUCUGUUUGUGGAGAUGCUGCAUCGAUUUAAGGCCGAGCACAACGGCAAGCUGCUGCUGGGAGCCCCGACCAGUCCCCUUCUGAGCCCCCCUCCCCUUCUCACACCCAUUCCCCUUCUCCUUCCCAGUCCCCUUCUCAGCUCCCCUCCCCUUCUCACACCCAUUCCCCCUCUCCUUCCCAGUCCCCUUCUCAGCCCCCCUCCCCUUCUGUCACCCAUUCCCCCUCUCCUUCCCAGUCCCCUUCUCAGCCCCCCUCCCCUUCUGUCACCCAUUCCCCCUCUCCUUCCCAGUCCCCUUCUCAGCCCCCCUCCCCUUCUGUCACCCAUUCCCCCUCUCCUUCCCAGUCCCCUUCUCAGCCCCCCUCCCCUUCUGUCACCCAAUCCCCCUCUCCUUCCCAGUCCCCUUCUCAGCCCCCCUCCCCUUCUGUCACCCAUUCCCCCUCUCCUUCCCAGUCCCCUUCUCAGCCCCCCUCCACCUCUCUUUACCAAUACCCCUCUCUGUCCCCCUCCACCUCUGUAGGACAAAGCACCACUCCGCCCACCUCACCCUCUCUUUCCCAUUCCCCCUCUCUGGCCCCCUCCCCCUCUGUGACCCAACCCACCUCUCCGCCACCCUCCCCCUCUCAAUCUGACCCACCCUCUGUAACAAGCUCCCCCUUCCAGCCUCCUUCCACCAUCCAGCCUCCUUCCCCCAUCCAGCCUCCUUCCCCCAUCCAGCCGCCAUCCCCCAUCCAGCCGCCAUCCCCACCUUCGGAAUGGGCAGCAGAGGCUCCGGAGGCACUUCUGGGAGGUGAUCAAGUGGCACAGGACAAUGUUGCAGUUGGAGAUCCCACAACUUUUGCGGGCAUUCUGGCCACCAUGCGGCAAAAUCUGGAAGCCUUGCUGGCUAAUGUGGACCAGCUGCAAAAAUUUGCAUAAUUUUUAUUUAUAAACAUUUUAUAUUUUCAGUUUAAAAAAAAAAAAUAUGACAAACAAUAAAAACUAUAUAUUUCAAGUUAA